GGGGUUGCGGACAUAUCAUAACGAAGAGGUAUCGUAAUUGAAGAGGUUUGGAAAGACCCACCACAGAAGGUAAUAGUCCUGUAUGUUAAACGAGAAGACUUUAGAUAUGAUCCAGAGUACCACGGGACACGUGAAACCCUGUGGGAAGCAGGAGGGACCACCCUCCAAGGCUAAAUACUACCUAGUGACCGAUAGCGUAUAGUACCGUGAGGGAAAGGUGAAAAGAACCCCG
rnacentral:rRNA from 1 species